UACAGUGAGAUGGAAGCAAGCAAGAAGCUCUUUGACAUCACCCAGACUGAGCAUUAGAUUACAACAAACAAGACUUACUGACAAAGGAGUAAGGAAACGCCUCCUAAGCUCUAGAAAGGGCAGCUUCAUCAAUCUGCGUUUAGAAACAGAAGCAGCAAGUCUAAAGCAAGAAUACUCUAGGAACUCUGGCUAUUUGCCAUCCCAAGCACACAUGCGGGACUGAACUGUAUCUGAUCCUUGAAUUUUAAGAGACUUUAACUUGUUGGCCUGAGAGCUGCUGAAGCCAUUUCUAUCUGUGUCACCGUUGCUGCGUUUGCUAACAGCAGCAAUCUGGGAAAACACUGCUUUUUGUGUACUUGUUUGAUCCCUAUUUUUACUGCAGGAGAAUCUCAGAAAAAAUUAUCUUGAUUAAAUCCAAGAGCUGAGCUGACCAAGUUAACAUUUAGAAUGUCUGAAAACAGAAAGGAAACCUGUCUCAAACAAUGUCAGAAGUGUGAUGUUGACAUGAAUGGAGACAUGUUAGAUGCACAAGGUGUUUGUCUUCACUGCAAAACUGAGACAAAAGAGGAGCAUCAAAAAAAUCAGAAAAGCAGAAGGUAAGGUAGAGUAAAAGAAUAGGCUUGGAUUAUUUUACAGAACUCAUCACAAGAAGAAAGGUGAUAGCUAGUGAUCAGUUAAAAAGCCUUUGAAAUAAACAAGCAAUAAACAAAGAAAUUCAUGGACAGGUUGCCUUUUAAUAGUUGUUGGCCAUGUUGAGACAAAUAUUUAUAUUCAAAGGCAUUAUAACUCUAAAUCAGGUGUGGGCAAUCCACCAACUGUAUGCAGUCCUAAAGUCCUAUUUUUGCUGUUCCUGGAAGUCACUAAAUAAUUAUUACAAUAGUUU